UGGGGAUUAGCCAAGCGGUAAGGCAACGGACUUUGACUCCGUCAUCCUAGGUUCGAAUCCUAGAUCCCCAGCCA
rnacentral:tRNA from 1 species